GGAAAGCACAAACAGUAUGUGAUGCAUCUACCUGUCAAAAUUGAGUUCAAGGUGCUAUGUGACAAUGAUAAGUUGAUAACAAAAGCAAAAAGAUUGAACAAUUAUUCAAAUCCCCAAGUUCACAUUACACCUAGAUAAGCAUUACAGAACUAAGAUCAAACACUCAUUCUCCCUAUGUUUGGGGAAGAAAUCCCAGAUGUAAAGAAAAGAGAUGGAAAAUAGAAAGAAUAAAGAAAC
rnacentral:misc_RNA from 1 species